rnacentral:rRNA from 1 species
AGUGAACGCUGGCGGUAGGCCUAACACAUGCAAGUCGAACGGCAGCACAGUAAGAGCUUGCUCUUACGGGUGGCGAGUGGCGGACGGGUGAGGAAUACAUCGGAAUCUACUUUUUCGUGGGGGAUAACGUAGGGAAACUUACGCUAAUACCGCUUACGACCUACGGGUGAAAGCAGGGGAUCUUCGGACCUUGCGCGAUUGAAUGAGCCGAUGUCGGAUUAGCUAGUUGGCGGGGUAAAGGCCCACCAAGGCGACGAUCCGUAGCUGGUGUGAGAGGAUGGUCGGCCACACUGGAACGGAAACACGGCCCAGACUACUACGGGAGGCAGGAGUGGGGAAUAUUGGACAGAGGGAGCAAGCCUGAUCCAGCCAUACCGCGUGGGUUAAGAGGGCCUUCGGGUUGUAAAUGCCUAUUGUUGGUAAAGAAAAGUAGCCGGUUAAUACCCCGCUGUUCUGACGGUACCCAAAGAAUAAGCACCGGCUAACUUCGUG